rnacentral:pre_miRNA from 1 species
UAGCAGCACAUCAUGGUUUACAUGUUCUUGCCCAGAUGCGAAUCAUUAUUUGCUGCUUUA